rnacentral:rRNA from 1 species
UACAGAGGGUGCGAGCGUUGUUCGGAAUUAUUGGGCGUAAAGGGCGCGUAGGCGGCCACCGCAAGUCGACUGUGAAAUCUCCGGGCUUAACCCGGAACGGUCAGCCGAUACUGCGGGGCUAGAGUGCAGAAGGGGCAACUGGAAUUCUCGGUGUAGCGGUGAAAUGCGUAGAUAUCGAGAGGAACACCUGCGGCGAAGGCGGGUUGCUGGGCUGACACUGACGCUGAUGUGCGAAAGCUAGGGGAGCGAACGGG